GCUAAGAAUAUUCCGCAAUGGGAGCAAUCCUGACGGAGCGACGCCGCGUGGAUGAUGAAGGCCGAAAGGUUGUAAAAUCCUUUUAUACGGGAAGAAUAAGGCUAGUAAUGGAAUGAUUAGUCGAUGACGGUACCGUAUGAAUAAGCCCCGGCUAACUACGUGCCAGCAGCCGCGGUAAUACGUAGGGGGCAAGCGUUGUUCGGAUUCACUGGGCGUAAAGGGUGCGUAGGCGGUUAUACAAGUGUGGAUUUAAAGACCAAGGCUUAACCUUGUGUAUGGUCUGCAAACUGUAUAACUAGAGUCUAGGAGGGGAAGCUGGAAUUCCACGUGUAGGGGUGAAAUCUGUAGAGAUGUGGAAGAAUACCGGCGGCGAAGGCGAGCUUCUGGCCUGAAACUGACGCUAAAGCACGAGAGUGUGGGGAGCAAACAGGAUUAGAAACCCCUGUAGUCC
rnacentral:rRNA from 1 species